UACAGAGGUCUCAAGCGUUGUUCGGAUUUACUGGGCGUACAGGGAGCGUAGGCGGUUGGAUAAGCCCUCCGUGAAAUCUCCAGGCUUAACCUGGAAAGUGCAGAGGGGACUGUUCAGCUAGAGGAUGGGAGAGGAGCGCGGAAUUCCCGGUGUAGCGGUGAAAUGCGUAGAGAUCGGGAGGAAGGCCGGUGGCGAAGGCGGCGCUCUGGAACAUUUCUGACGCUGAGGCUCGAAAGCGUGGGGAGCAAACAGG
rnacentral:rRNA from 1 species